rfam:Gossypium arboreum cultivar AKA8401 contig_12544_3, whole genome shotgun sequence.
UGUUAAAAUUUUGAUCCAUUUGUCUUGUUAAAAGUUGAUGUGGCUGACAGAAUAACCAUAUAGUGACAUGUGGCGUCUUACGUGUACCCCAUAGUAACAUAAAGGGACCAAUUUUUAACAGUAGAAAUGAAUAAAAUUUUUAAUA